CUCAAUAUUUCCCUUAUUGCCUCUGUUGAUAAUUUCGGUUGUAUUCUAUGCCACUUUCUAGAAAAGGAAACCAAAAUGAAGAAGAAAAAAGGCACGGGUGCGUUCUUCCAGCGAAUAUGGAGAGCUGUGAAGUCUACAGUGCUGUGUUGCUACAGGGGCAACAAAGAAGAGCCUUUCAGCAUCGAGCCAGUGGCUCAGCAAGAUCCAGCAGAUCUUCAGCCAGGUCCACGGAGCUCCGACUCGGAGUUAAAGACUGACCCCGGCCCGUCUUGUCUCAAGCCUGAGUUAACAGAGGUCUCAGGUCCACCCAGCGUGGAGAGGACACGUACCAGCGAUCCGGCUGAUCUCGAGCCUUCCUCUGUCUCGGGUCCAUCCGGUCUCCAGCUGGCACCUGACAGCGAUCCAACCGGUCCUGAUCCAUUACCUGUACCAGCUCCAUCCAGCCUCGAGCCGAUGGCUCCUCAAGAUCUAGCUGAUCUAGUCACACUUCAGUCCAAUCUUGAAAUGACACCUGAUCCAUCGCCAGAACCUGUCCCAGGUCCAUCUGGCCUUCAUGCGAAGUUAACAUCUUUUUGGGGUCCAUCUGGUUUUGGUCCAGCUGUCGGAUCAUUUUUCUCCCUUUAUGACGUUGGUGUACCGCUGGGUUCAGGAAAUUUUGGCACUGUGUAUGAGGGGACUCGAAGAUCUGACGACCAAAAGGUUGCCAUCAAAUUUGUAUCAAAGUCUGUGCAGGACCGCUUUAUUUAUAUUCCUGGGUGUACCAGACCUCUCCUGGUGGAAGUGGCUCUGAAUCUGGUGCUGCGAGAGCCUCCCAGAAGCCCUUACAUCCUCCAAAUGCACGACUGGUUUGUGCAGCAUUAUCGGUACAUCUUGAUUCUGGAAUAUCCACAUCCAUGUGAGACCUUGCUCAGCUUCGCUUUGCGCAACGGAGGUUACCUUGAAGAAAGCGUGGCACGCGGCUUAAUGCGCCAAGCGGUGCUCGCAGCCAAACACUGUCUCGACCGGGGUGUUUUUCACCGUGACAUCAAGUCAGACAACAUCCUGGUCAACACGGAGACGCUGCAACUCAAAUUAAUAGACUUUGGCUGCGGCAAACUUUUGGAAACUUCUGAAGAGCUCAAAGAGGGCCCAGCGGUCAGAGCUACGGUCAAGUCUUUGGGUGUUUUGCUGUUCAGGAUGGUGAAUGGAAUCAGCUUUGUCGAUUUGCAGAUGAUACCUUCCUCCACUUUAUCCAGUGAAUGCCGUGAUCUUUUGAGCCAGUCCAAGAGCAGCAGCCUGACUUUAGACAAGCUCCUAGAACACGAAUGGUUUAGGAAGAGCUGAAGGAGGGAAGAAAAUGUCGCUCGGGAGUCAGUGUUUUAUUAGACUAAUUUAUUGUGGGUGCAGAAAUUUCUGGCGCGAAUCGCGUGCGGGAGAAGCAAACGUCAUCAACACACGGAUCACUUCAUCCGGAGAAGGAUUAACGGCCCUGAGAAAACCUUCCAAACCCAGCCACAGCACUGUUUUGUUUCCUGAAUGAAUCAGCAGUUUAAAGGAUUCGGUUCAAUCGCUUUGACUCACUUAUUAACAGUGACUUCCUUCCACCUACAGACGGAUUCAUUUUUUAUUUAAAUAAUCUCAAACAUCAGCAUUCAACGUUUUGUUUAAUAUAAAAACAUGCAUGCAUUGUCAAAUUAGUCAUUUAUGAAGUUAAAUAAACAUGCAGAUUUAUGUAAAAGCUGAUAGAACACUGAAAAUAUUGCUUCAGAAUAAAUUUACACCAAAAAUCUAGGUGAUGCUAAAUUCUAAACCUUGUCUGCGUGUUAAUCUUUCUGUGUCAUUCAUUUAUUUACUUGAAGUUAAACUAGUAUUAAUUUCUUUCAGAAUUUUCCUGGGAAUAAAUCCUGGUCAAAGGCUGAGAUGAAGGGAACAAAACAUCAAAAUCCUUCAAGACCGCCAAAAUUCCUGGGAAAAGGAAAAAAUCCUGCAGCCGUUUAUUUCUGAUUUUGUGUUUUUUAAUUAAUUUGACUUGGUUUCUUUAUUUUACUUACGGAGCUAAUUGUUUUGACGUGCAUCACUAAUAUUACACACAAUGCUAUUUAAAACAUGACGUUGUUUUAAUGUUGUUUGUAUGUUUGCAUGUUAUUUAGUUGGUGUUUUUGAAAAUGUAUUUUGCAGUAUUACAGUUUUGUGCUUGUAUAUUCAUAUGUAAUACAAAAGCUAUUGAAUACAUGAACAUGUAGUAAAAAUAAAUGUUUGG